CUUCGCGGCAUGACGCUCUAUUUUCUGGUCUUUUAGUCGUUUGUCCAAGAAUUGCAAGAAUGAUAGAAUGAUAGUCUCUCUCUGGAGUUGUACGGAUACGGAUAUUUAAUUGAUUAAUUGUUUAGCGGCGGAUGUAACGCUGUUUGUUAUUGUGUACCGAUUGAGUUUUUUUUGUGUUGGUAAUGUGUGCAGCUUCUUCGUCACUUUAAAAAAUUAAAAUUUAUAAAUGAAUUUAAAAAUGAAUAUGUGAAUAUGCGAGACUAUUUUGGUAUUAAUGCCAUACCCAAAUAGUGGUGUGUUAAAGAAGUUGCUGUUUUAUAUAGAAAGUUAUAAAAAUUCUGCGAGGAAAUAUACAUAUGUGUGUGCAAAGUAAAAAUACGAAGCGAAUAAAGUGGAAAGCAUAAAAAUUAGAACUGAUUGGUAGCGGUGUGAAAAAUGAAUAAAAUCAUCCCGUAGUAAGAAUAAAAAAAAGAAUAAAAAUUGAAAAUCCUUCGUAAAAAAUUUGUAUGUACGUAAACAAGUAUCUGAAUAUUCCAACUGCUCGAAGGUUCUGAAAGAAUAUUUUGUGGUAUGUCCAGUGGCGACCGGUUUCAAUACGCAACUCGUUACUUCUGCUACUACUAGAGUCACGACGAUGAAACUAAAAUAAAACAGGCUUUAAUUUGAAAUUUCGGCUGAAGUAAUUUGUUAUGUGAAAUAUUAACUAAUUAAAGUUUAUAUAAUUGUAAAUUCACGUAAAAAACAUGCAUAUAUAUUAAAGUAAUAAUCGCAGUGCCAACAAAUGAAUGUGCGUAUGUUUCGUAAAGAAUAAAGCGCUUUGUGGCGCCUAUAAAUGCGCGCCAAAAGUAUAAAAUCACACAUUAAUAAAAAUUAUUUGAAAUACCUAAAAAAUUAAUGUACAUGUACGUGCAAUCAGCUCUGUCAAAUAUAAUGGCUCUGUUUGGGGUGAUUUGGCUGCUGCUAGUAGUGGAUGCAAAAGGUGCAGCAACUAGAGUCGGCAUAGCACAUAGAAGCCCAUCAACAACAUCUGAACCGGAAAUACGCACAAGGAUUUUUAACGAAAAACAUUGAUUUACAUUUCCCUUUUUGGAAUAUCGCUUGGACUUGAACCUCGAGAUAGAUGCUAAAAUUAACAUCUAUAGAUUCUGAAGAACAUUCAAAUAAGCUACAUAAUGAAAAGAUAUAAAACAACAUAAUGAAAAAAUAUAGCCACCGAAAAUUUAAAUACAUAUGUAGUUCAAAUCAAUUGAAAACAAUCAAACAAAUUGAAAUACGCUGCGACGAUGAAAUACCAAAUGAUGGAAAAGGUUUGUUCUUAAACCGGUUACUGCUUGGCAGGCAUUGGCAAAGUUCUGAGUGUAUAUCUGUCAUAAAAAGUUUCUCAUAAAAAACUAUCCGCCGGUCGGAGUAAAACUGUUGAUUCUUUCAUUUGUAGAAAAACAAGCAAAGAAAAUGAGUAGAUAUUCGAAAAGUGAUUGAAUUGAAAAUUAAACAAAUCCAAUAUUUCUCUCCCGUAGUGUAUAGUGUGAGCAUUUGAUGAUAUGAAGUUGCCCAAAAGUGCUAGAAGCUUACAUUUCCUAUCUGACACAUCUUUCCCUUCUAAAAUAAAAAAAAAACAGAGUAUUUAAUAUCCAGCUGCAAGUAAAUCAGCUCCAUGGAUUCACAGCGUACAUACUCGUAAGCCCAAAGCGGGUAUCAAUCAAAAUGACAAGUUCGAAGAGGGGUGCAUUUUUAUUGGAAUCGCAGAGAUUUCAACGAGUUGCUCAUUAUUAUCAGCCGCUGCCUGAGGGAGUAUUGUCACAUACUGCAUAUUUAUGCAUUUAUGGAA